rnacentral:lncRNA from 1 species
GAGCUGCUAGGCAGGGAUGAGUAGGUCAGCGGUUUGACCCAGAGUGACCUGGGGCCAUCUGCAUCAGGUUGCCCAGGUUCCACCCCAGAAUGACCGCAUCAGCAUUCUGGGGCAUUGGUGGGGAAUCAGUGACCUGCAUGUGAAACAAACUUGCCUGGUGACUGUCACUGUGCUGCUGUUUGAAAGCUGCUGACGGAAAUCCUCAGCAUUAACUUGUGUUCUGCCCUUGUUCAGCCACAGGCUUCAUCCUGAAUGAGCUUCCUUGGCCCUAAUUGCUUUGUGUUUGUGCUUCUAAUACUAACAGGCUCUGACAAGAAGUGCAGAGAAGAUCUGGAUGUUGCAGAAUUGAACUGCAAAGGGGACAGUGCAGUGAGGUGGCGCUGACGCAGCUGUGCCUUGGUCAUCCUCUCUGUUCUCCCAAACUGCCUCCUGGUGAUGAAAUCAGAGCAACAAACUCGUUUUCCAUCAUCAGCUUCCCACGUGGCUUUCCUCUGGUAGAGUUUAAGUGCCUCCCCUCUGCAUUUCUUGAAGGACAAUGUGAAGAAUCACAGACGUUAACUGUUUUCACACAUGAAAGAUGUGAGACUGAAUUGUGAAAUGAAAUAAGUCAGACAUUUAAGCUCAAAUAUUGCACGGUUUCUUAUAUAAAACACCCAAAAUAUAAAUUAAGAACAAAAUAAAAGAGAGAUAGGAAGUAAAGAGAUAUAUUUUUUUUUCAAAUGGGAAGAGGAUCAAGAGUUGAAGGGAAGGGGAGGGAGAAGAGGAAAAGAGGAU